UCGUAUCUCACCUACUCAACAAUAUUCAAAACUUCUGAGGUUGAUAGGUUUGCCUAGAUCACGUGGAGUUAGACAAGAUUGAUAACAGCCAGUUAUAAAGUGACACACAGAUAGAUAAGCCAGAGCGGACAGAUAGUACUGAAGGAAUGAUUAACCGGAGGAGAGAACUGCCGUCUACGGCAAUGACUGAAUGGAAAUAAGACAGGUGGUAAAAUGCAAGAUCAAAAGAACACAACAGGUUGAUACAGGGCCGCAAACUUUGAACUACUUCUACCAAACACCAGCACACAGAACGGGCAUGUGGGAUGUCGCUCCACACAAAAGAGCAAUUUCGUGCAAGGUGAGGGGCAACAAUGCCAUCUAAAUUUGGCGACAAAAGAUAAAGAGUCUCGGGACAAGUGGCCUGGCAAACACAGGCCUGUUGACUGAAGCGCGGGGACCUAAUGACCCUCAUGUCACUGGCCCACAGCAGCUACAAGGGAGAAGACAACAGAGUGAGGCCGUCUUGACUACCAUAAGUGGACGUGCACUGAUAACACAAGGGCCUCUUCUUCCUGUUUGGCAGCCGACCCGUUCGCCUGGAUCUGGAAGAUUUCCCGAAUCAAACAUGCGACUUCAAUUUGGGCCAACGAAGAAAACAAUCACAUUUUCCCCUCCCUCAGAUUCAGUUCCUGACAGCAGAUUGAGAUGUGGUCGCCACAAAGAAGUCUGGCUUUGACGGAAGUUUGGACGGAGUAUUUCAGGGGUCCUGAAUGUAAAUUGGGCUUAAAGGGAGAUGCUUGGCAGACUCGGGUAACCCGGUCCAAAACGUUGUAUAUUUUUGGAGCAGCGCGGCUGGUGGGAACAGAUUGAGGUAACGUGAGGUGGACCACCCAUGUCCGUUCUGUCCAAGAGAGCUGCACCGCCGUUAAUUAGAGCCAUUCUCCGAGGUGGAUUCUGCGGCCGGGACACCUGUGAACUCAGAAGUGGGCCGUUGCACAUGCAAAACGGCCCGAGUCAUGUUUUGAGCACCAGUGGCCAAUAAAAAAUCACUUCCAGCUCCUGCAGACACCCAGAAAUCGUCCACAUAUAUUUCUGCACACCAAGAAAACCGUGCUGUUGACACAUUACAGUGGCGUGAAUAUUUUAAUAGUCCCUUCAAAGGUGCUCGUCACCCUAAUGUGUGAAAAUAAAUGUUGUUCUUCACAAAA